GCUGAUAUGGCUCAGUUCGUAGAGCGCACCCUUGGUAAGGGUGAGGUCCCCAGUUCGACUCUGGAUAUCAGAU
rnacentral:tRNA from 1 species